UAGGUAAGGGUGAAAGGGUGCGGUAAGAGCGCACCGCGCGGCUGGUAACAGUCGUGGCAAGGUAAACCCCACCGGGAGCAAAACCGAAUAGGGACGGCAUGUUGGCGGCUGCUUUGGUUUCGGCUGGGGCGGAUGCACAACAGGCGAUUUUGCGCUGCCGUCCGGGUAGGUUGCAUGAGGCGUUCGGCAACGGACGUCCUAGAUGAAUGAUCGUCUAUCGUCGCCAAAUUUGGGCCGCGGCGUGGACAAAACCCGGCUUAUAGGCCGUCUGGCGCC
rnacentral:RNase_P_RNA from 1 species